AACCUGCCUCAAAGAGGGGGACAACAGUUGGAAACGACUGCUAAUACCGAAUACGCUCAUGAUGAACUUUGUGAGGAAAGGUGGCCUCUGCUUGCAAGCUAUCGCAUAGAGAUGAGUCCGCGUCCCAUUAGCUAGUUGGUGGGGUAACGGCCUACCAAGGCAACGAUGGGUAGCCGAUCUGAGAGGAUGAUCGGCCACACUGGAACUGAAACACGGUCCAG
rnacentral:rRNA from 1 species